rnacentral:rRNA from 1 species
UAAGACGUAGGGCGCGAGCGUUGUCCGGAUUUAUUGGGCGUAAAGAGCUCGUAGGCGGCUUGUCGCGUCGGCUGUGAAAUCCCGUGGCUCAACUGCGGGCUUGCAGCCGAUACGGGCAGGCUAGAGUUCGGUAGGGGAGACUGGAAUUCCUGGUGUAGCGGUGAAAUGCGCAGAUAUCAGGAG